rfam:Hypsizygus marmoreus strain 51987-8 scaffold_1, whole genome shotgun sequence.
GGCCUUGUAGUCUAGAGGUACGAUACUUGCUUUGGGCUUUCCAGGCGACUGCAAGUGGCCUGGGUUCGAUUCCCAGCAAGGCCC